rnacentral:lncRNA from 1 species
AAAGCGCGGAAAAAAGCGCGGAGCGGCGGGGCGGGGGGCGGGGGCGGGGCGGGGGGGGGGCGGGAGGAGGUGGAAUUGCAUUUCUGCCGCUAAAGCGUUCGCGGAGACUUCAAGGUAUAAUCUAUCCCAGAUCCUUUCCCAGAGAGAAACUUGGCGAUCACGUUUCCACAUGAUGCUCACGUUUGGUGCUCUUCAAUUAUCCCUCCCCACAAAGAUAGGUGGCGUGUGUUUCAGGGUCUCUCCUCUCGCUCCUACAGAAAAGAAAAAGAAAAAAAUGUCAUUAGAAGAGGCGUAACACGUCAGUCCGUCCCCAGGUUUGUGUUUCCUGGAGUGGCAGAAAGAGAUCAGUCCUAACCUGCCCAGCAGGAAUAACGGUCCUUCCGACAACUCUUUGCAAGGCUUUUUACAAUUUCUCCAGGAGCUGCAUCUCCCUUCACCUUUUCUCCUCCACUUCGCGGCUUCUUCAUGCUUUUGCUUCUCACCAUUUCUGGCCAAAACUACAAACAAGACUUCGCAGAGCCUGCGUGCUGCUGAAGCAGGGAGCCGGAGCCCAUGCGAACUGCCAUCUGAGCCACUCUUAUCAAUGAAGCAGCAGAUCAUGGCGGAUGGCCCCAGGUGUAAGAGGCGA